UUUAGUGGCGAACGGGUGCGUAAUACGUGAGAAUCUGCCCUUAGGAGGAGGAUAACUGCUGGAAACGGCUGCUAACACUCCAUAUGUCGAGAGAUGAAAAAUUUAUUGCCUAAGGAUGAGCUCACGCCUGAUUAGCUAGUUGGUGAGGUAAUGGCUCACCAAGGCCACGAUCAGUAGCUGGUUUGAGAGAACGAUCAGCCACACUGGAACUGAGACACGGUCCAGACUCCUCCGGGAGGCAGCAGUGAGGAAUUUUCCGCAAUGGGCGAAAGCCUGACGGAGCAAUACCGCGUGAGGGAUGAAGGAUUUUGGUCUGUAAACCUCUUUUCUCAAGAAAGAAGUUCUGACGGUACUUGAGGAAUAAGCAUCGGCUAACUCCGUGCCAGCAGCCGCGGUAAUACGGGGGAUGCAAGCGUUAUCCGGAAUCAUUGGGCGUAAAGCGCCUGUAGGUUGUUUAAUAAGUCUGUUGUUAAAGACUAGGGCUCAACCCUAGGAAAGCAAUGGAAACUACUAGACUAGAGUAUGGCAGGGGUAGAGGGAAUUUCUAGUGUAGCGGUGAAAUGCGUAGAUAUUAGAAAGAACACCGGUGGCGAAAGCGCUCUACUGGACCAUUACUGACACUCAGAGGCGAAAGCUAGGGUAGCAAAAGGGAUUAGAUACCCCUGUAGUCCUAGCCGUAAACGAUGGAUACUAGAUGUUGUGUAUUAUGUACAGUAUCGUAGCUAACGCGUUAAGUAUCCCGCCUGGGGAGUACGCUCGCAAGGGUGAAACUCAAAGGAAUUGACGGGGGCCCGCACAAGCGGUGGAGCAUGUGGUUUAAUUCGAUGCAACGCGAAGAACCUUACCAGGACUUGACAU
rnacentral:rRNA from 1 species